AUUGAACGCUGGCGGCAUGCCUUACACAUGCAAGUCGAACGGUAACAGGUCUUCGGAUGCUGACGAGUGGCGAACGGGUGAGUAAUACAUCGGAACGUGCCCGAUCGUGGGGGAUAACGCAGCGAAAGCUGUGCUAAUACCGCAUACGAUCUACGGAUGAAAGCGGGGGAUCGCAAGACCUCGCGCGGACGGAGCGGCCGAUGGCAGAUUAGGUAGUUGGUGGGAUAAAAGCUUACCAAGCCGACGAUCUGUAGCUGGUCUGAGAGGACGACCAGCCACACUGGGACUGAGACACGGCCCAGACUCCUACGGGAGGCAGCAGUGGGGAAUUUUGGACAAUGGGCGCAAGCCUGAUCCAGCCAUGCCGCGUGCAGGAUGAAGGCCUUCGGUUGUAAACUGCUUUGUUACGGAACGAAAAGACUCUCUCUAAUACAGGGGUGGAAUGACGGUACCGUAAGAAUAAGCACCGGCUAACUACGUGCCAGCACG
rnacentral:rRNA from 1 species